UGGGGAAUAUUGCACAAUGGGCGAAAGCCUGAUGCAGCGACGCCGCGUGAGGGAUGACGGCCUUCGGGUUGUAAACCUCUUUCAGCAGGGACGAAGCGCAAGUGACGGUACCUGCAGAAGAAGCACCGGCUAACUACGUGCCAGCAGCCGCGGUAAUACGUAGGGUGCAAGCGUUGUCCGGAAUUACUGGGCGUAAAGAGUUCGUAGGCGGUUUGUCGCGUCGUUUGUGAAAACCAGCAGCACAACUGCUGGCUUGCAGGCGAUACGGGCAGACUUGAGUACUGCAGGGGAGACUGGAAUUCCUGGUGUAGCGGUGAAAUGCGCAGAUAUCAAGAGGAUCACCGGUGGCGAAGGCGGGUCUCUGGGCAGUAACUGACGCUGAGGAACGAAAGCGUGGGUAGCGAGCAGG
rnacentral:rRNA from 1 species